CGCAUUAAGCAUUUCCAAUGGAAUUCGCCUGACAUAUCUGACCAUAUCUGCGUGGAGCAUUCGUAAAUAAUAAUAUGUCGCUACUCUCUUUUAAAUAUCAUUUUCAGUGCGUUUUUGCAUUUCGUGCGUGUCAGAUCGUUCGUCGUGCACUUCGUGCGUCUCAUGCGGUGUGCGAUCGGCGAAGUAGUAGUCGCCGCAGUAGCGACACUAGCAACAACAACAGCAACAGCAACUAUACCAACUAAAUUAGUGCAAAAAUUUACAACACGUCAUGUAAAAAUAAAAAAUAAAAUAUAUAUAUAUAUAUAUUUAUAUAUAAAAAAAAGUGUUUGCAUGUGUGCGAAUGUGUCUCUGUCAAUGUGUGUGUAUGUGUGUACGUGCGUGUGAGGAAGUUACAGUUUAAUGUUGGUUAGUCUCAAUUGUCGACGACGAGGCUUUGCGGCUGAUUGAUGCCAGAGUUGUUGUUGUUGCCAGCUACUUUGGACAAACAAAUCUUGCAGUAUGAACUGGAGAAACAAUUAGAUUUUGAAUUGGAAAAAAGGUAC